rnacentral:rRNA from 1 species
CCAAGCAGCUAUAUCACCCUGUAGCUCUCACCUGGCAGCCCCACUGGGGCUCAGCAGGUGUGAGCCUGGUCAGUACCUGGAUGGGAGACCUCCUGGGGAAAACUAAGGUUGCUGCUGGAA